rnacentral:rRNA from 1 species
AAAACUUUGAGUUUGAUGGUGGCUCUGAGUGAACGCUGUCCAAAUGCUUGACACAUGCUAAUCGAACGUCUAAUUUUAUUCAAAUUUAAUUAGAAGUGGUGUACAGGUGAGUAACUGAUAAUCUAGCUACCUUAAAGUAAGGAGAAAAUCCCUUAUAAAAAAAAAAAAGAAAUAAAAAAAAAAAUUUCGCUAUAAGAUGUUAGAACUUAUCCUGAAAGAGUAUUAGUUUAAACUAGCUCGUUUCAGUAGUCGAGACUGAGAGGUCGAUCGACCACACUGGGUCUGAAAAAAGCCCAUGGCAGAAAGUACAGCAGUGGGGGAUAUUGGUCAAUAGCCUGACGGCUGAACCAGCAACUUGGAAGAAUGUAUAACGGAUGUGUCGUAUAAAAUUCUAGAUAGAAAACUGAUAAUGACAACUAUCUAUCUAUUAGUCUUGACCAAAUUACGUGCCAGCAGUCGCGGUAAUACGCAGAAGACAAGUGUUAUUCAUCUUUAAUCGGUUUAAAGGGUACCUAGACGGGAAAUCAAGCCAUAGUAGGGACUAAUUUUCUAGAGUUUUAUGGAUGAAAGUCGAAUGUCUGGAGUAGAGAUAAAAUAUUAUAAUACUAGAUGGACGGGCAACGGCGUAGGCAACUUUCUAUGUAAAAACUGACGUUGAGGGACGAAGCCCUAGGUAGCAAUAAGGAUUAGAUACCCUAGUAGUCCAGGGAGACAAUGAUGAGUGCCAUAGGCUAGAUAAAUUAGCAUAUAAAUGAAAGUGUAAGCAUUCCACCUCAAGACUAAAGCGGCAACGCCCAAAUUGAAAUCAUUAGACCGAUACUGAAACCAGUAGUGAAGUAUGUUACUUAAUUCGAUGAUCCGCGAAUAACCUUACCACGUUUUGAAUACUUUUUGUACGUGCUUUUAUCACCACAAAUUGUACAAGCGCUGCACGGCUGUCUUUAGUUAAUGUCGUGAGACUUUGGUUAACUCCUCUAAUUAACGAAAACCCUUGUUUUAUUUGUUUAUAAAACAGUUCUCUGGUACAACGGAUAAGAUAAUAGGGAUUAAGGCAAGUCAUCAUGGCCAUAAUAGCGUGGGCUGUCGACGUGCCACAUAUGCCUUUACAAAAGGAUGCGAUAUUGUGAAAUGGAGCUAAUCCCCAAAAAAGGACAUAACUAAUCGUGAAUUGUAGUCUGAAACUCGACUACAUGAAUAAGUAAUUACUAGUAAUCGUGUAUCAUUACGGCACGGUGAAGCUUUUCUCAGUUAGGUACUAACUACUCGUCAGGCGCUGAAAGGAGUAUGUGCAAUAAGUUUGGUUGCUUUUUACCUUAUUUUAUAUAAAUAGUUAUACUUUAGUUUUAUAGUAACUUUCGUAUGUGUGACUUUAAUUGGGGUUAAGUCGAAAUAUGGUUCGUGUAACGGAAGUUGCACGGGAUGCAUUAUCAUU